GACAGAGGGGGCAAGCGUUGCUCGGAAUUACUGGGCGUAAAGGGCGCGUAGGCGGGAUGGCAAGUCGGUCGUGAAAUCCCUCGGCUCAACCGAGGAACGUCGAUCGAUACUGCUGUUCUUGAGGAUUGCAGAGGAGACUGGAAUUCCCGGUGUAGCGGUGAAAUGUGUAGAGAUCGGGAGGAACACCGGUGGCGAAGGCGGGUCUCUGGGCAAUUCCUGACGCUGAGGUGCGAAGGUCAGGGGAGCAAACGGG
rnacentral:rRNA from 1 species